GAGUUGAUCGACUGGAUUUUCCAUUUUGCAGUAAAUUAUUUUUGAGUCAACCUUCUUUGGUUAUUGGUGCUUGUUUCUUCCUUGACUUUCAGAUGUGUCUCAUAUAGGCCAUCACUGGAUACCACAAGGAACUCAGCCUUAAGCGUGAGCCCUUCCUCAAGUGCUCAAAUAAAAAGAGCUGGAGUCCUUGUGACUCACAGACAGAGGCCAAAGCAUUACUCAGAAAGCCAGGAGCAAGAGAUUGUCACCCGAAGUACUUUGUUGUGGGACCUCGCAGAUCUGAUUAUUUGUGACAUAUCUGUGUGACUCGGAGACUCCAGGAGCCUUAUACAGGGGAAUUACAGUGCAUACCUACGGAUGGAGCAGGACUUUCACCUCGGUAGAUCAUUGGUCUUCUGGGAAACAGCCUAUGGCUUGCUGCAUGGACAUGUGACCAGCUACGUGGGCGUGUGACCACCAAGUGAACACCAAGGGGCUGAUUAUAAACUGAUCGUCAUCUGGACCCCCAAAUCAGUGACUUGCCCAUGAGUAUAGGUUAACUGUGCUUCCAGCUCAUGGGGAAGUCCUCCCUUUGCUAU
rnacentral:lncRNA from 1 species